CGAAAGAUGGUGAACUAUGCCUGGCCAGGAUGAAGCCAGAGGAAACUCUGGUGGAGGUCCGAAGCAAUUCUGACGUGCAAAUCGAUUGUCAGAGCUGGGUAUAGGGGCGAAAGACUAAUCGAACCAUCUAGUAGCUGGUUCCCUCCGAAGUUUCCCUCAGGAUAGCUGGUACUCAAAGAGGAGUUUCAUCCGGUAAAGCGAAUGAUUAGAGGUCUUGGGGACGAAACGUCCUCAACCUAUUCUCAAACUUUAAAUGGGUGAGAUUGCCAAGCUUGCUUUAAAGUAGGUUGUUGUAUAACAAACCUAUAAGUGAAGCAUGGGCAACAAAUCUCAGAGUACCAAGUGGGCCAACUUUU
rnacentral:rRNA from 1 species